GGGGAAUAUUGGACAAUGGGCGCAAGCCUGAUCCAGCCAUGCCGCGUGAGUGAUGAAGGCCCUAGGGUUGUAAAGCUCUUUCGGCGGGGACGAUAAUGACGGUACCCGCAGAAGAAGCCCCGGCUAACUUCGUGCCAGCAGCCGCGGUAAUACGAAGGGGGCUAGCGUUGUGCGGAAUCACUGGGCGUAAAGCGCACGUAGGCGGAUUGUUUAAGUCAGGGGUGAAAUCCCGAGGCUCAACCUCGGAACUGCCUUUGAUACUGGCAAUCUUCGAGUCCGGGAGAGGUGAGUGGAACUCCGAGUGUAGAGGUGAAAUUCGUAGAUAAUCGGAAGAACACCAGUGGCGAAGGCGGCUCACUGGCCCGGUACUGACGCUGAGGUGCGAAAGCGUGGGGAGCAAAC
rnacentral:rRNA from 1 species